UACGAAGGGGGCUAGCGCUGCUCGGAAUUACUGGGCGUAAAGGGCGCGUAGGCGGCUCUGUUAGUCAGGCGUGAAAUUCCUGGGCUCAACCUGGGGACUGCGCUUGAUACGGCAGGGCUAGAGGACGGAAGAGGCUCGCGGAAUUCCCAGUGUAGAGGUGAAAUUCGUAGAUAUUGGGAAGAACACCGGUGGCGAAGGCGGCUCUCUGGGCCUGUCCUGACGCUCAGGCGCGAAAGCUAGGGGAGCAAACAGG
rnacentral:rRNA from 1 species